ensembl:snRNA U6 U6 spliceosomal RNA
GUGCUCACUUCAGCAGCACAUAUACUAAAAUUAGAACGAUAUAGAGAAGAUUAGCAUGUCCCUUGCACAAGGAUGACAUGCAAAUUCAUGAAGCAUUCCAUAUUUUU